UACAGGGGGAGCAAGCGUUAUCCGGAUUUACUGGGUUUAAAGGGUGCGUAGGCGGCUUUUUAAGUCAGUGGUGAAAGCCUAGUGCUCAACACUAGAACGGCCAUUGAAACUAUUAAGCUUGAGUCAAGGAGAGGUAAGCAGAAUUUAUGGUGUAGCAGUGAAAUGCUUAGAUAUCAUAAGGAAUACCAAUAGCGAAGGCAGCUUACUGGCCUUGUACUGACGCUGAGGCACGAAAGCGUGGGGAGCAAACAGG
rnacentral:rRNA from 1 species